UAGGGAAUCUUCCACAAUGGGCGCAAGCCUGAUGGAGCAACGCCGCGUGAGUGAAGAAGGGUUUCGGCUCGUAAAGACUCUGUUGUUAAAGAAGAACACGUAUGAGAGUAACUGUUCAUACGUUGACGGUAUUUAACCAGAAAGUCACGGCUAACUACGUGCCGG
rnacentral:rRNA from 1 species